rnacentral:rRNA from 1 species
UUUGUUCAACGGCCGCGGUAUCCUAACCGUGCGAAGGUAGCGUAAUCACUUGUCUUUUAAAUGGGGACGGGUAUGAAUGGCAUCACGAGGGUUAUACUGUCUCCUUUUUCUAAUCAGUGAAACUAAUCUUCCCGUGAAGAAGCGGGAAUAAACAUAUAAGACGAGAAGACCCUAUGGAGCUUUAAACUCAAUAACAAAUACUAACCUUACAUUAACCUUCAGAAUAUUAACCUUAAUUUUAGUAUUAUGAUUAUUAGUUUUAGGUUGGGGUGACCGCGGAGUAAAAAUUAACCUCCACAUUGAACGGGACCUAUCCCUGAGCCAAGAGCUACAGCUCAAAGCACCAACAAAUUGACAUUAAUUGACCCAAUAUUUUGAUCAACGAACCAAGUUACCCUAGGGAUAACAGCGCAAUCCACUUCAAGAGCUCCUAUCGACAAGUGGGUUUACGACCUCGAUGUUGGAUCAGGGUCUCCCAGUGGUGCAGCCGCUACUAAAGGUUCGUUUGUUCAACGAUUAAAACCCU